GACGAACGCUGGCGGCGUGCUUAACACAUGCAAGUCGAGCGGUAAGGCCCUUUCGGGGGUACGACGAGCGGCGAACGGGUGAGUAACACGUGGGUGACCUGCCCUCAGCUCUGGGAUAAGCCUGGGAAACCGGGUCUAAUACUGGAUAUGACUCCAUGACGCAUGUUGGUGGGGUGGAAAGCCUUGUGCGGCUGAGGAUGGGCCCGCGGCCUAUCAGCUUGUUGGUGGGGUGANGGCCUACCAAGGCGACGACGGGUAGCCGGCCUGAGAGGGCGACCGGCCACACUGGGACUGAGACACGGCCCAGACUCCUACGGGAGGCAGCAGUGGGGAAGUCUUGCGCAAUGGGCGAAAGCCUGACGCAGCGACGCCGCGUGAGGGAUGACGGCCU
rnacentral:rRNA from 1 species